UAGGGAAUCUUCGGCAAUGGACGGAAGUCUGACCGAGCAACGCCGCGUGAGUGAAGAAGGUUUUCGGAUCGUAAAGCUCUGUUGUAAGAGAAGAACGAGUGUGAGAGUGGAAAGUUCACACUGUGACGGUAUCUUACCAGAAAGGGACGGCUAACUACGUGCCAGCAGCCGCGGUAAUACGUAGGUCCCGAGCGUUGUCCGGAUUUAUUGGGCGUAAAGCGAGCGCAGGCGGUUAGAUAAGUCUGAAGUUAAAGGCUGUGGCUUAACCAUAGUACGCUUUGGAAACUGUUUAACUUGAGUGCAAGAGGGGAGAGUGGAAUUCCACGUGUAGCGGUGAAAUGCGUAGAUAUAUGGAGGAACACCGGUGGCGAAAGCGGCUCUCUGGCUUGUAACUGACGCUGAGGCUCGAAAGCGUGGGGAGCAAACAGGAUUAGAUACCCUGGUAGUCCACGCCGUAAACGAUGAGUGCUAGGUGUUAGACCCUUUCCGGGGUUUAGUGCCGCAGCUAACGCAUUAAGCACUCCGCCUGGGGAGUACGACCGCAAGGUUG
rnacentral:rRNA from 1 species